rnacentral:rRNA from 1 species
GAUGAACGCUAGCGGCAGGCUUAAUACAUGCAAGUCGUGGGGCAGCAGGUUUGUAGCAAUACAGAUGCUGGCGACCGGCAAACGGGUGCGGAACACGUACAGAAUCUUCCUUUGAGCGGGGAAUAGCCCAGAGAAAUUUGGAUUAAUACCCCAUAGUAUAAUGAAGUGGCAUCACUUUAUUAUUAAAGAUUUAUCACUCGAAGAUGGCUGUGCGGCUGAUUAGGUAGUUGGCGGGGUAAAGGCCCACCAAGCCUGCGAUCAGUAACUGGUGUGAGAGCACGACCAGUCACACGGGCACUGAGACACGGGCCCGACUCCUACGGGAGGCAGCAGUAAGGAAUAUUGGUCAAUGGAGGCAACUCUGAACCAGCCAUGCCGCGUGGAGGAUGAAGGUCCUCUGGAUUGUAAACUUCUUUUAUAUGGGACGAAAAAAGGCUUUUCUAAGUCGUCUGACGGUACCAUAUGAAUAAGCACCGGCUAACUCCGUGCCAG